CCCUUAGAUGUUCUGGGCCGCACGCGCGCUACACUGACGAAUGCAACGAGCUUAUAACCUUGGCCGAAAGGUCUGGGUAAUCUCCAAAUUUCGUCGUGAUGGGGAUAGAUUAUUGCAAUUAUUAAUCUUCAACGAGGAAUGCCUAGUAAGCGCAAGUCAUCAGCUUGCGUUGAUUACGCCCCUGCCCUUUGUACACACCGCCCGUCGCUCCUACCGAUUGAAUGGUCCGGUGAAGCGCUCGGACCGCGGCCUCUUGACGGUUCGCUGUCGAUUGGCUGUGGGAAGUUCGUUAAACCUUAUCAUUUAGAGGAAGGAGAAGUCGUAACA
rnacentral:rRNA from 1 species